CACGUGGGGCGCAAGCGUUGUCCGGAAUUAUUGGGCGUAAAGAGCUCGUAGGCGGUCUGUUGCGUCCGCUGUGAAAACCCGGGGCUUAACCCCUGGCUUGCAGUGGAUACGGACAGACUAGAGGUAGGUAGGGGAGAAUGGAAUUCCCGGUGUAGCGGUGAAAUGCGCAGAUAUCGGGAGGAACACCGGUGGCGAAGGCGGUUCUCUGGGCCUUACCUGACGCUGAGGAGCGAAAGCGUGGGGAGCGAACAGG
rnacentral:rRNA from 1 species